rnacentral:rRNA from 1 species
GUCCACGCCGUAAACGAUGGAUACUAGCUGUUCGGAGCAAUCUGAGUGGCUAAGCGAAAGUGAUAAGUAUCCCACCUGGGGAGUACGUUCGCAAGAAUGAAACUCAAAAGGAAUUGGACGGGGGGCCCGCACAAGCGGUGGAGCAUGUGGUUUAAUUCGAUGAUACGCGAGGAACCUUACCAAGGCUUAAAUGUAGAUUGACAGGACUGGAAACAGUUUUUUCUCGGACAAUUUACAAGGUGCUGCAUGGUUGUCGU